ACCCAGGUGGUGGAAUUGGUAGACACGCCAGCUUGAGGGGCUGGUGCUCAUUAGGGCAUGCUGGUUCGAGUCCAGUUCUGGGUACCA
rnacentral:tRNA from 1 species